GGAAUAUUGCACAAUGGGCGAAAGCCUGAUGCAGCGACGCCGCGUGAGUGAAGAAGUAUUUCGGUAUGUAAAGCUCUAUCAGCAGGGAAGAAAAUGACGGUACCUGCACAAGAAGCUCCGGCUAAAUACGUGCCAGCAGCCGCGGUAAUACGUAUGGAGCAAGCGUUAUCCGGAUUUACUGGGUGUAAAAGGAGCGUAGACGGAAUUGCAAGUCUGAUGUGAAAGGCCAUGGCUUAACUGUGGGACUGCAUUGGAAACUGUGAUUCUUGAGUACCGGAGGGGUAAGCGGAAUUCCUAGUGUAGCGGUGAAAUGCGUAGAUAUUAGGAGGAACACCAGUGGCGAAGGCGGCUUACUGGACGGUAACUGACGUUGAGGCUCGAAAGCGUGGGGAGCAAACA
rnacentral:rRNA from 1 species